UUCAAUUUCAAUUUCAGACCCUCCCCCCACGCUUCUCCUCCAGCGUUCUCUCCCCCACUCCCCCAGCUCGUUCUCCUUUCGCCGGCCUCACCCUCCGCUCGCACUGUGUGGCUCCAUCAUUUCGGCACCGUGUGGGUCUACUGUCAAGGCUAACAAAAGUUCGAAGCUUCUCCGGCUUCACCAUUUUCGCACAGCGUCCUCCACUGGCAUUCUUGCUGCUGACACCCUCGCCGUUGUCUGGCUUCGCCGAUAAGGGUAAGAAAUGAAAGAAAAUGAUUUUUAUUUUUGUGUUUUCAUUUCAUCUCGUUAUUUCUAGCAUUACUUAUAUUGUGUGUUUUUGUGUUAAAUGGAUCUAAGAUUUUGUGUUUGUUUGAUCUGUGUUUUAUGGGGUUUUUGGAUUGUCUAUGUUGUAUACUCAAAUAAUAACUGGGAUUUUUUUAUUUUUCCUAUUUUAUCAAGUGGGUGGCAAAUCCAUGUUUCCUGAUCAUUUACGGUAUCAUUGCCAGUUCACUGGUUUCACAAUUUCAACUAAGCAUUACAAUCGUACUACCUAAAGCACACAUAUCAGUUUCUGAAUAGCUUAUAUAACCUGUUUUGAGAAAUCGAAGUGUUCCUUGAAGUGCAACGGAUUGGGUAAUUGCAGCAUACACGAUGAAAUUUGAAUGAGCGGCAUAUGAGCGUGGCUUUGUUGUUGGGUUGAUAAUCACGGCAUUGGGUAUUUUGUGUAAUAGUUCUGGAAGUGGACAUAGGAAAAUAUGGUAUUGUUGGUGUUGGUAUAUUUGGAAGUGCAAUAGUUCUGGUCUUCAAAGCAUUUUUGGAAGUGUAAUAGUUCUAGAAGCGUACAUAGGAAAAUAUGGUAUUGUUGGUGUUGGUAUUUUUGGUCCUUUAAGAAGUGUAAUGGUUCUGGUAUUUUUGGAAGUGUAAUAGUUAUGGAAGUGUACAUACCAAUUCACAAAUAUUUAAUGCGAUAUCUGGAGGCAUUGGUAAAUUAUUGUAUUUUCAGUAGCUUGGUGUCAUCAGACAUGUCCAUACACAGGUUUUGGGAAUCUAAAAACGAUGUUCUGUUGGGUGAUUUUGUAUUACAUUUUGUAUAAGCUGAAGAUGCAUUUCUUUA